rnacentral:rRNA from 1 species
UGGGCAACCUGCCCUCAGCUCUGGGAUAACUCCAAGAAAUUGGGGCUAAUACCGGAUAUGACUGCUGACCGCAUGGUCUGGUGGUGGAAAGAUUUAUCGGCUGGGGAUGGGCCCCGCGGCCUAUCAGCUUGUUGGGUGGGGUAGUGGCCUACCAAGGCGACGACGGGUAGCCGG